GUGGAAGAGCGUAGAAUUAUUGUCUACGUUAUGUGGUCUAUACGUUUUUGCUCUGUAUUUUUUAAUACCGACAGCACUUUUGUUCGUAAGAAUUUCUCCAAACUGGUACCCUCUCUCAGGAAUUUUGGAUUUGCUGUCUAAAGACCGUGUUAUGGAUAACAUGGUUGGAGAACAUUAUUCCAACAACUUCAUCAUGAUCACAAAUCUAGGUAAUUCUUCUAUGAUCCUUUCAAAGUUAGAAGAUUUAGAAGAUACUCCUAAAGAUCUUUUGGGUACGGGAUGCCAUCAAAUCAUUCUGAACUUCUGGUAACUGAUGAACUCACAGACAGGGGCAUGCAGAUUCUAGGCAACAUUGUGGAAGCAGUUUUACUUCUUCAAAUUCAAAAGGUAACCUUGGUAACAGAAAUUCUGGUCCUCCACUUACAGCCCUGGAAUUACAAUGGAAUAUUCUAGCUUGCUAUUCUAUCAGAUGAUAGACCAUGGAAGUUAAAGAUAUUCGUUUGUACAAAUGCAUCUGAGAAUCAG